rnacentral:lncRNA from 1 species
CUUCAGUCUAAAGAGUUAAUACAACAGCAGUAAAGCCAUUUCUGCGGGGCGGGUGACGUAUGCCUAUAAUCCCAGUGGCUUAGGAGGCUAAGGAAAGAGGAUUAUAAAUUCAAAGCCAGCCUCAGCAAAAGCUAAGCAACUCAGUGAGACCCUGUCUCUAAAUAAAAUACAAAAUAGGGCUGGGGAUGUGGCUCAGUGGUUGAGUGCCCCUGAGUUCAAUCCCUGGUACCCUCCCCUCCAAAAAAAGAAUAAAGCCAUUUCCAAAGUUACUUUUAUAGGAAUACUCAGCUUUUUGUGAAAUUCUCCAUAGAAAAAUAUGCAAGAAAAUGAUUUAAAAAAAAAAAAACCUAUGUUCUCUGGAUUCUCUUGUUGCAGUUUUUCUUCAGAAUUUUGACUAAAACCCUCAUUGUCUUCCCAGAGUUGUUUCUGUUCUUCAACAUGUGCCCAAAAAUAAAUUAGAAAAAUUCCUUCCAUUAGCAUGCCUUUCUGGAUGAAUUGGCCUUUAGGCUAAAUAGAGGUAAUUUUUUUAAAGUAUCCUCAUUAUUCUGAUACUUUAGACUGUUGGGAGAUUCAAUUUACAGGACAGAAAAAAACAAAACAGUAAGAAACUAAUCCCUGCCCCUCAGGGUCACAGAUCACAUGUCCUGUCUCCUCCAGCUUUAACCAGCAGCACAUGGUACUCAGGCUGAGGACAGAUGGAGAAGAGGAGGACAGCAUGACCUCAUCCCAGAGUCCAUAGAAAGUUCUGUCAUUAGUUGGUCAGAUUAGCUGGACUUAGUGCCCUCACCCUUGUGUAGGAAGGGACAGUGUUCUCUCCACUUAGCCCAGAGGUUUGGAGUGUGGCCCAUUAGGUCUCAUUCAGAACCUCCCCUUGGUUCCUCCAAGCCGUGUACUUUUGUCCUGUGUAUUACUCAGGGUUCUGGAGAGAGAGAUGAAAGGAUUUGGAGAGUGGGUCAUGUGAUUAUGGAGGCCUAGAAGUUUCACACAUCUGGGGUACCAGCAACGUGGCUCAGUCCAUAUAUGAAGGCCUCAGAACCAGGGAAGCUGAUCAGGUGACUCGGAGACUGAAGGCUGAGAAUUCAGGGGCUGCUGGCGUGAGUCUUGAAGUUCAGAGACCACAGGACCUGGAGUUCUAAUGUCCAAGGAUAGGAGAAGACUGUCCCAGCUUCAGGAGGGAGAGUCCAUGGCGUCCCCAGCCAGCUAGAUGGUGCUUACUGACCUCAAAGGUGGAUUUCCCCCUCCAGCUCACACACCAGUCUUCCAGGAGCACCCUCAGAGCAGUGCCUUGCCAGUCCUCUAGGUGUUCUUGGUACAGUCAAGUUGACACCUGAAGUCAGCUGACACAGCUGGAGAGAAGAAAGUCUCUUCUCCCUUCCUCAGAGAGGUAGGCCUUGAUCAAAACUCUUUCUGAGCAGUCGGACCAUUGCAUAGCCAGAUUCCUCCCAUCCUAGGGUCUAGCUGCAGAAGGUAGCAGGUCAUUUGCCAGGGCCUCUAGCCACAUUUCCUCACUACAAAAGAAUGAGAAGGGAGGCAUUCACAGUGGAAAUGCAAGGACUGGAGACUUUCUCUGUGUUGAACUCAGCACUAUGGGUUCUUCCUUAGUCCAGAAAGUAUCCUGGCUCCCAGUGCUUGUUGGUAUUGGGUUGGGAGCAGGCAUCUUGGAAGCUGAGACUCACUGGUCUGGUUGUGCCUUGACAGUGGCUUUGACAUUCUGGUGACUGCCUGUGGCUGGGUCUGUGGGAAGUGGGGCUGUCUCAUGGCUUCUAGCACUCCCUGCCUGGCUUAGAGACACUGAUGCACCUUCUCUUUGCUUUGGUUUUACCUUGGAGAAAGCUGCAGUCAGAGAAGGUAGUCAGCUGUUGUUAACACAGCGAGAAGUGACUGUUGGGGCCACGGGUUGGGCGUCCCUUGUCUAAGAUGCUUGGGACCACAGUGUUUUUCAUUUUGGAAUAUUUGUGUGUACGUGAUGAUACCCUGGGGACAAGCCCGCAUCUUCACCCAGGCUGUUCAUGCUUCAUAGCACCCUGUGCUGCGUCUUUGCUGAGCCUCCAUUGUAACUACAGGCUGUCACGUGUGGUCAGUGCAGGCUUUUCCACUAGAGGUGUCAUGUUGGCACUCAGAAAGGGUUUCACUUGUUUUGAGGAAAGGAAUGCAUUAGGCUUGGCACCUUAAAAUGAGAAACAGCCAUGUUUGGAGUCCCAGUCCAGUUGGACAGACCCUGGGGAUUAAUAUAAUCAUUGUAUGUAAUAAAAAUUUGUCAUGACCCAUCUGCCAGUACUUUGGAUAGCUAACUUAAUUUGCCUUUAUAUUCUGAAUAACUGGAAACCCUUGGUAUCAGAGAAUAUUAGUGUGCUGCUUUGUGCUUCCUUAUUCAGGCUCUGUUUCUCUGUGUUGGAAGGAAAAGGUGAGGCAUGGUGUAGCUGUCACUUAUUCCACUGAUCCAAGAGCUGUUAAUACAUUUCUUUCUAAAACUUCUUUGUGUAUGUUUUAUUUAGCUCAAUGCAGCUUAGGAUUUCUUCUUGUGACUGGGAAUCUUGGACUGGAACAAAAAAAAAAAAAAGGUUUUCUGACUCUGAUGACCCCUGGGGUUUGCGUGCUGGCAGAAGCUUCUGCUCUUGCCAGGUUUGCCAUUUUGCUGAUAAACACAACUAGGUGACACCUGAUCAGAGUUGCAUGUGCCAAGCCAGAGACGAGGAUGGAAGAAGGUGGCCUCUCUGGUUUUCUAAAGAAGAAGGCCCCCAGAGGACACAUAGCCAGACUUUCAAACCAGUGGGCUAUAGUCUGUGUAUAGCAUCUUUGAGAGAGGAAAAUGAUUAACCUCCUGUGGAGGCCAUGGCAUUCUACUGAGCUGCCAUUUAGCACCAGAAGACCUCACGCCUACUUGUUGAGCCCAGGUGAAGUUUUUCUUAGAAAAAACUCCCAUGUCCUGACUGUGUGCCGGGCUUUGGAGAAACACUGGUAUCUGUGAUUGGAGGAGGGCCUCCGACACAGGGAAGCACUGUAAACUAUUGGGAGGCUCUUUCUCAGCUGUCCAGACCAAUGGCUUUACACCUGGAGACAUUUUUUUGUUGUAAAAUAAAUAAUCAAAUUGUGUGUCUCCCUGCUUCCCUCAUUCUUUGGGGGAGUCUAUAUUUGAUUACUGCUGUCACAGGACCUAAUUUUGCAUGUCUAAUUUUAAAAAUGCAUUUUUGAACUGGGCAUGGUGGAACACACCUGUAAUUCUAGCUACUGAGGCAGGAAGAUCGCAAGUUCAAGGCCAGCCUGGGAAAAUCACACCCUUUCUCGAAAUUAAAAAAUAAAAAGAGCUGGGGAUGUAGCUCAGUAGUAAAGCACUCUGGGUUCAAUUUCCAAUGCAAUAAAAAUAAAUAAAGAAUGGGCUGGGGUUGUGACUCAGUGGCAGAGCACUUGCCUAGCACAUGAGAGGCACUGGGUUCCAUCCUCAGUACCAUAUAAAUAAAAUAAAGGUAUGGUGUUCAUACUACUAAAAACCAAAUAUUUGGAAAAUAUGUAUUUUUGAGGAUUGUUCUUGAUCAGCAAAGAAGUUGCAUUUUACUGAGCCACUGAAUCAUCAGAAAAUGUCAUUGUAUUUCACUGCAUGAAGGAAAGUAGCCGCUAUUGGUUUGCUCAGGAUCUUUCCCAUUGUGAUACCAGGGACAAUUUUCUAGUUGUGGAGAAGCUGUUUGGCUGCUUUGUCAGGAGAGAGUGGUGUGCUCUUGGACUUGUCUGGUAACUUCUCUAAUUUUUGUGCUAUCAUCUUGAAAUAGGACAGUCAGAGGUUCUCUGAGGACUGUAAACCUUGUUUUACUUAAAUCUGCCAGGAUUUCUUUCUGGAAUUCCUUUGGUACCUGUUGCCAGGUUUCAAGAGAUUGCUGUGAUACAUACCAUAGAACAGGCCCUCAGUCGGGAAGGUAGAGUCGAGAAAGGUGUGGUGACAGAUGGUCCAGGCCCCCUUGUGUACAGAUUCAGUUCAAGAUCCAAACCAUCAUGUGAAGGGUGUGAGGUGGUGGGCACUAGACUCGCGUGGGCGGGGCUUCAGAUUCCAGUUCUGCCCCUGGCUAGGAUUGCUGUGAGGGUUAAAAGAAGAUAGUAGUCUUCAUGCACAAUGUGCAUCCCCGGGUACAUGGGAGGCCCCCCAAGGGAUCUCCUGAGUGCUAGUAAGAAUUAGGAGAGAGAGGAGUUGUAGAUACAGUUGAUCAUGGUACAGAUGUGUUUAUAAAGUGCUGUUCUACUCCCCAGAGGUGGAUUUUCUUUGCACAAAAAAAAUUCAUAUCUGUAUGUGGAAGUGGAUGAGUAUAGAAUGAUUAGGUUUUUUUGUUUUUUUGAGAGUUUUUUUUUUUUAAAGAUGGACAUAAUAUCUUUCCUUUAUUUAUUUUUUUUUAUGUGGUGCUGAGGAUUGAACCCAGUGCCUCACAUGUGUGAGGCAAGCAUUCUACCACUGAACUAUAACCUCAGCCCUUGAUUAGGUUUUUUUGUUUGUUUUUGUUUUAAUAUGAUCCUGUGCCGCAGUCUGGCUGGGCACAAAUGCCGCAGUCUGGCUGGGCACACAAUCACGAGCCACCACACAGCUUGUAGAUUCAAACAGCAACUCUUUAUUCCCGAACUCACACCAGCCGUCUACAAUCACGUUCUGGGGAAAUCCACGUUCUCUUCCCAAAUCCACCUUCUCUCCCAAAUUCACCUCCACUGGGCUUCUAUCUCCAAAAUAUACUGUCUGAAUCCCGUGAGAACUCAAGGGGAACUCAGGCAGCAGGAUACGCCCUAUUCCCAGCAGGAAUAAUCUUAAACCUUAAACCUGGAACCUAAACUGGGAACGCCCUAAACAAGAUUAUCUUAAAACCGGGAACACCCUAAUCUGCCUUGGUCCUUGAGCAAGGUCACUUACAUUCAAUGUCACUGCAACAUGUCAGCAACAUGGGGUACGCUGGCAAGGAAAUUGUCAUACCUACUUGGCUAAUGGCUCCCAGCA